CGCACGGGUGAGUAACACGUAUGGAACCUGCCCUAUGCAGGGGGGAUAAGCGGAAGAAAUUCCGUCUAAUACCGCAUAACACCAUUUGGAGACAUCUCCAGGGGGUCAAAGGAGGCGACUCCGGCAUAGGAUGGCCAUGCGUCGCAUUAGCUAGUCGGCGGGGUAACGGCCCACCGAGGCGACGAUGCGUAGGGGUUCUGAGAGGAAGGUCCCCCACACUGGUACUGAGACACGGACCAGACUCCUACGGGAGGCAGCAG
rnacentral:rRNA from 1 species